GGCCAAUCCUUCCUCACUGUGGCCUUGUAACUCCCUCUUGGCAUGACCGAGCAUAUUCUGCACCAUUAUACGUUGGAAACUUACAGUUUGUAUUUUGAUUUUUAUAGAAAGUUACAGUUAAGAGAAUGCCUUAAGCUGUAGGAAAGAAUUUGGACUAUGGGCUUUUAACCAGUGUUGUGGCUCAGGAAGUGUCAGGACCCAUUUGCUGCUUUUUUGAAGCAGAGGAAAAAAAAAAAGAAAGAAAAAUUCUGCCUCCCAGGCAGGACAGGGCCUGUUGGCAGAUUUCCUGGCCUGCUGAGGCAUAGAGGGAUAAGAGGAGCUGCAGGCUCAAGGCUCGGGGCUGACGAUUCUAUUGACCUUGGUGGAAGGAACAGAGACGUUUCUGGAAUGCGAACAAAUGUCUGUGUACAUUUUACCAAAAUUGUUUCUGUUAGCUUGUGGUUUUGCUUCCCAUGAUACUAUAGUAUAAGAAAGCUAUGAGAAAUACACUUGCUGCUAGUAUGGUAUUAACCAAGCAGACCUCCCAUAACUUCGUCUUGCAUGUUCUAUCUUUCCUGUAAUCAUCCUCACUCCCCCUCAGAGGACUGUUUGACUUCCCCACAGGCUGAACCAGUUCAAGGAAUACCAUGGGGACUUUCAAAGUUGGACAGAGUGCAUUUUUUGUUUGUUUUAUGAUAUAGCCAUGAGACUAUGUGGGUCUAAGAAUGGAAUGUAGUAGUUAUGAAUAAGAUGUUCCUCAUAAGUCUUGGGCAUUUGAGUACUGUAUUUCUAGUCAGUGAAUGUUUGAGAAGGCUAAGGAGGUGUGGCCAUGGCAGAUGAGGCAUGUCACUUGGGCCGGUAGAGGUUCCUGUUAUCCAUAGUGAAAUAUUGUCAAAGUUAAGAGAAUGUUUCAAUGUUAACUUUGAAAAAGCUGAUAUUAACGAAGAAAAGAAGGGGACUGGAGAGUUAGCUAAGUGGUCAGGAGUGCUAGCUGCUCUUGCAGAGGACCUUGGUUUAAUUCCCAAGACCUAUAUGGUUGCUUCAAACUCAAUCUCAUGGCUCUUGGGCCUGUUCUUUUAUUCUAUUAUGCUGACUUUCCAAGCAGAAGUACUGGUAAUGAUUCUAGAUACUUCUUCAUGCUUAGACCAUAUAUGCUUGUAGCAGCUUAAUCACUACCACAUUCUGCUAGUUCAGCAAAUGGGUCAUUCAGUGGCACAGGAGGAGUAGCUCGGUAUGUGGAUAUCAAGAAUGUUGUCUUUUUUUGAAAGGAGCUUUGUUGAACAUUAAAGAAAUUGUCAGUUAAUAUCUUACCAUGAAAUACCAAGCCAAUACCUUGAUUGUGGAUAUCUCAGCCUGAAAAGCACUAGAGAGUGGAUAAGAUAUAGGGGUAAAAGCAAGUUUGGAAAAACUCCUAGGAAGUAGUAAGUGCUUGCUUAGCACAGGAGGGGUCCCCUAGACAGUGGCUUCCCGAUUCCCGGACAUUCUGCUGUUUUUCUUGCUUUCUGGGAUGAUGAUAUUCUUACCCAUACUUCCAAGCUGUGCUUAUUAUGUAAGACAUUAAGUGAUUAAGUAAAUUGCUGGUGGUUUUAUAUACAUGUAUGUGUACAGCAGUGGCUUGAAGGUUUACUGUGUGCCUAGAAGUCAUCUUUAUUGUACAUCAAAGUGGUGAACCUAGAAGGUUAUUUAGCUCUUUUGCCUUUCUGGAGAUCCAGAUGGAUCUUUAUCACCCUUUCCAUGUAAUAAUUAGUGAAGUUUCUCAUUCCUCAUUCCUUUAUAAUAAUUAAUAGAAAGGAUAAGUGAAUAAAAAACUAAAUAACUCUGGUAUCUUGUCAUGGAUAAUAUGUUUAUUUUAGGCCUGUCGAUGUCCUCUUCUCUUUAGUGAUAGAAGCUUUACAAAGGGAUUCCUCUCAUUAGACAAGUUGGCAAGGAAAGCCUAAUUUAUUUCAGUUCAAUUAGGUAAUAUUUAACCUCAAAGUGGAGAGAUACAUGAUAGGAAUGAAAAUUAAUUCAACUACUAUGAAAUCCGGUGUCAGAGUAGCUGAAAACCUAAAGCUCUCACACAAUCAGCUCUUCUGCUUACAGUGCUUUUUGUUGUGGUUGUUCUCAGAUUGGCUGGUGGAAGGAUAUGAAAGCCACAAUACAGCAAAUUAACUCAUUACAUUUUGAGGAUAUACAUUCAUCCAGUUGAUUUUUACAAUUCUUUUUAACCUUUAAACUUGAGGGAAAAGAUUUUCAAGGUUGCUUGUACAUGAGUUUCUCUAGAUUGUAAUCCUAAUUAACUUUAAAUGAGUAUUUGAGAGAAAGUACUUCUAAUUUAGAAUGUGCAGUGAAAUUUGUUAUAACGUUUUGAUACUAAAUUUAUACCCAAAGUAACUAUCAUUAUGUCUGCUCUAAAGACUUUUACCUAUAUAAAUUUGAUAGUUAUAUUUUUAAGAAUCUUGCCUAUUUAAGUCAUAUAAAUAUUAUUUUAAGAUGUAAAUACGAUUUUUAUUAUCAAAUAGUCACUGUUGAACUUCCCUUUUAACUUCUGUGACAGGGUUUCCCAUAGCCCAGGCUGCGCUCAAACUUAUUAUGUAGGCAAGAAAUCGAACUUUUUGAGUAUCCUGCUUUAAGUCUCAAGUUCUGGGAUUACCGAUGUGUACCACUGCUUACUGCUUAAAGGUAGUGGAAUUUGGGGAAUGAAGGCUAGUAAUGAGGUGGACUAUAAAGUCUCAUGUAAUACCCAACUUUGUUUAUGUUUAUUUAGAACAUCAGACAGUCUGUACAUCAACCCCUCAAAUCCCAUGCUUUAACAGUGACUUUCUUUUUUCCCUCUUGACAUCUCCCAAACUGGUGCAACUAUUGCUCUGAUUUCUUUUUCAAAUACUUGAAGUUUUUGUCACAAGUCUUUUACUUGUUUGUUUAGAGUUACUCCAAGAUAUAUUAUUUGAGUCUAUUGUGAAAGGUGUUAUUUCUUUAUAUAGUAGGGCUACUGAAUUUUUUUUUUUUUUUGAGUUAACCUUGUAUUAAACUACUUUGCUGAAAGUGUUUAUUGGCUUUAGGAGUUCCCAGCUAUCACUUUUACAGUCACUUAUAUAUACUAACAUAUCAUCUGAAAAUAAUGAUACUUUGACUUCUUUCUUUCCGAUUUGUAUCUCCUUGAUCUCCUUUAGUUGUCUAACUGAUCUAGCUAAGACUUCAGGCACUCUUGAAUAGAUUUGGACAGAGUGGACAAAGCUUGUCUUGUUUCCAAUUAUAGUGGAAUUGCUUUGAGUUUCUCUCCAUUUAAUUUGAUGUUGUCUAUAGGCUUGCUGCAAGUUGCCAUUAUUAUGUGGAGGUUUGUAUCCCUAAUUGCUCCAGGACUUUUAUUAUGAAGGAGUGUUGAACUUGGUCAAAGGCCUUUCCUGCAUCUACUGCAAUGUUCAUGUGAUUUUACUCAUAACAAAUAUGUACUACAAAAUAGCAGGAACAGGAGUCAACAGUCUUUGGUCAUUGAUAUUUCUCAAUAUCAGUGGUCUCCAUUCACCAAUAAAAUGAGACAGACUAACUGAAUGGGUAUGGAAACAGGAUCCAUCUUUCUGCUGCAUCUAAAAACACACCUCAACAUUCAAAUAGACUCUACCACGGAGCAAGAUAUACCAAAAUAUAAUAAGAUACACCUGAAUAGCAAUCUGGUAUAGCUAUUCAAUAUCUAACCAAAGAGACUUCAAAGUAAAACUAAUCAAAAGAUUUGGGGAAGAAACAUUUCAUACUUA
rnacentral:lncRNA from 1 species